rnacentral:rRNA from 1 species
GACGAACGCUGGCGGCGCGCCUAACACAUGCAAGUCGAACGGAAAGGCCUGCUUUCCCUUGUGGAUUGCGGGUACUCGAGUGGCGAACGGGUGAGUAACACGUGAGUGAUCUGCCCCCAACUUGGGUAUAAGCCUGGGAAACUGGGUCUAAUUCCCGAUAGGACUGCAGGGUGGUGCCUGUGGUGGAAAACGAUUUUCUAGUGGUUGGGGAUGAGCUCGCGGCCUAUCAGCUUGUUGGUGGGGUAAUGGCCUACCAAGGCGGCGACGGGUAGCCGGCCUGAGAGGGUGGACGGCCACAUUGGGACUGAGAUACGGCCCAGACUCCUACGGGAGGCAGCAGUGGGGAAUAUUGCACAAUGGGCGGUAGCCUGAUGCAGCGACGCCGCGUGGGGGAUGACGGCCUUCGGGUUGUAAACUCCUUUCGACCGCGAGGAAGCCGCCUGGUUGGAAGGGUGGUGACGGUAGUGGUAGAAGAAGCACCGGCUAACUACGUG